GCUCAGGGCACUGACAGAAGCAGUCAUUGAGGGAGCCACGGGGGCCCUGAAGAAGCUGCAGGGUGGGGCUGCUCCUGAGUGCCUGGUGCCAGAGGACAAUGGCUUCUAUCUAAUAGGCCAGGAGAGCCUCAGGCAGUAGAUGGGACCUGCCUGUCCUGCCAGGAUCCUGGGGAUUGCAGGUUCCAGAGGUCCUUGUCAGCCUUGCAGCAGAUGUCUGAAGAACAGAAAUGGCCACAGUGUGGGGAGCCGUGAAGCUGGAGAGGCAUUCGCCAUGG